AACGAACGCUGGCGGCAUGCCUAACACAUGCAAGUCGAACGAGCCCUUCGGGUCUAUUGGCGCACGGGUGCGUCACGCGUGGGAACCUUCCCUUAGGUUCGGCAUACCUCCCCGAAAGGGGUGCUAAUACCGGAUCAUGUCUUCGGCCCAAAGAUUUAUCGCCUUUGGAUGGGCCCGCGUUGGAUUAGCUAGUUGGUAGGGUAAAAGCCUACCAAGGCGACGAUCCAUAGCUGGUCUGAGAGGAUGAUCAGCCACACUGGGACUGAGACACGGCCCAGACUCCUACGGGAGGCAGCAGGGGGGAAUAUGGGACAAUGGGCGAAAGCCGGAUCCAGCAAGGCCGCGGGAGUGAGGAAGGCCUUAGGGUUGUAAAGCUCUGUUACCCGGGAUGAUAAUGACAGUACCGGGAGAAUAAGCACCGGCUAACUCCGG
rnacentral:rRNA from 1 species